AUUCGAACAAAGUGGUCGUGUGAAAUUUUAGAACAGGAUCUACGUUGUUGAUUCCUUGGACCGAGAGAGGAUUCGCCAAGCUAAACAGGAAUUUCAAGCCAUAAUCAAUGAUCCAUUUAUGAGCAAUGCUAUCAUCUUGGUGUUCGCCAACAAACAGGACUUGGUGCAGUACAAGUUCAAUAGGAGUGCAAUCCCAACUUGGUAUACUUUCACAACUUGGUAUCCAUAUAUUCCACUUGAGAAUAGGUACUCAU